GUGAUGCUUGCUCGGGCUCCUGC
rnacentral:siRNA from 1 species